rnacentral:rRNA from 1 species
AGUGAACGCUGGCGGUAGGCCUAACACAUGCAAGUCGAACGGCAGCACAGUAAGAGCUUGCUCUUACGGGUGGCGAGUGGCGGACGGGUGAGGAAUACAUCGGAAUCUACUUUUUCGUGGGGGAUAACGUAGGGAAACUUACGCUAAUACCGCAUACGACCUACGGGUGAAAGCAGGGGAUCUUCGGACCUUGCGCGAUUGAAUGAGCCGAUGUCGGAUUAGCUAGUUGGCGGGGUAAAGGCCCACCAAGGCGACGAUCCGUAGCUGGUCUGAGAGGAUGAUAAGCCACACUGGAACUGAGACACGGUCCAGACUCCUACGGGAGGCAGCAGUGGGGAAUAGUGGACAAUGGGCGCAAGCCUGAUCCAGCCAUACCGCGUGGGUGAAGAAGGCCUUCGGGUUGUAAAGACCUUUUGUUGGGAAAGAAAAGCAGCAGGUUAAUACCCCGCUGUUCUGACGGUACCCAAAGAAUAAGCACCGGCUAACUUCGUG